GUUUUGAUUUUAUAUCGUAUUUAACAUUCAGAGACAGGCGUGUGUAGGAAAAAGGCGGGCGCUUUCGCGUCCGAAAUGUGCACAGGUGUGAGAAUCACGUGUUGGAACCAGACGUGCAGCCGAGGCGCACAGUCCAGAGCCAAUAUGUGUGGCGCGAGCGCCGUUUUCACUAAUGAUCCUUCCGCAGGUUCACCUACGGAAA
rnacentral:misc_RNA from 1 species